GCUGAGGUGGUGAAAAUUGGUAUACACGCAAGUAUCAGGAACUUGUCAUCUUAAUCAAGAUGGUAGGGGUUCAAAUCCCCUCCUCAGCA
rnacentral:tRNA from 1 species